rnacentral:rRNA from 1 species
UACGUAGGUGGCAAGCGUUGUUCGGAAUUAUUGGGCGUAAAGGGCGCGUAGGCGGUUUGUUAAGUCGGUUGUGAAAGCCCGGGGCUCAACCCCGGAGAGUCGACCGAUACUGGCGAGCUAGAGUACAGAAGAGGUAGCUGGAAUUCCCGGUGUAGUGGUGAAAUGCGUAGAGAUCGGGAGGAACACCCGUGGCGAAGGCGGCCAGCUGGGCCGGACCCUGACGCUGAGGCGCGAAGGCGUGGGGAGCAAACGGAU